rnacentral:lncRNA from 1 species
UGGGUUUCCUAAGUUUCUCUUUUCUGUUGCUGUAAGGUUGAAUGACAGGUUCUUGAAAAGUAGAUUUUGGGGGAAAGAUUACGUUGUAGGUAGGAAAGAAUACUUUGUGGAGAGAUUGCUCCAGAUGUCCUGUUGAAGGCAGCUGCGGGCCUUCAGGUGACUGUACAGGAGCCCAGCUGUGCUGCUGGCCACUUCUCAAGCAGCUGAGUGAAUUUACCUCAUGUGUGCCCAAAUCAUGCCAUCCUCAGGCUGGUCAUCGUUUGUUCAAUUCACAUUAAGAUUUCUCCGAAAGAUAACCUUACAGGAUCAGUAUCUUACUAGCUGACCAAAACGUAUCAAAAGGAAUUCUGGCCCAAACAAUUGAAUAUCUAUCUACGGCUUCCUUUUUAAAUGAACCUAGGUUACAAAGAGAAACAUGAUAUCAAAUGCAUUCGUGGAAAGUUGCAAAGCCACAUUUGCUGCCCUUUGGGGGCAGUCUUCCCUUAAAUGUCAGAGCCCCUGAAGUGAAUUUACUCUUUGGAGAUGCACACCUUUUUCCAGCUUGGGAAGGGGAGCAUAGUCUCCCACUGCAGCACCUCAGUCAGAGGAAGCUUAGGACUUGCUGCACAUGGGUAGGUGGUCUUGAGCCAUCGCUGCUGUGGGCAGAAGCACUGACUGUUCCGGAAGUGAGCCAGGUUGGACCCAGGUGUUGGUGGGCACAUCCGCUUCCUUCAUGGAGAAUGAAGACUAAUGUCAUGGAUUGCACAUCAGCUACAAUCAUAGUCUAGUCCUCGCAGUAGAACAUACUAAUGUAUUAGGUUUUUUAAAUUCGAGACUUGUAUAGGCUUUAUGGAAUACGUCCACAAAUUGGUUUAUCCUUAAAGGAAAGUUUGAAUUUUUAAAUUUAUUUAUAACUCUCUCAUCUGAGGGAAAUGUCCUUGUUGUCUGUUAUAUUAAAGUGUUGACUCUAGUAAUAGCUUUAAUCUCUGACCCACUUUAAUUUUUUUCUCCCUGAUAAAUUUAUACAAGUAUUUAUCCACCAGAUCACCCUCUCUAUACCUUUGCUGGGCCUUAGUCUUGAUAGAACAUAGGCAGACUUAUCAAUAUAUUUUGUUUUCCUUGAGAAUAGAGCCUCACAUAAAGCCAGGCUGGCUUCUGACUCACUCUGCAGCCAAAGAUCACCUUGGAUUUUCCAUCUCCUGCCCCCAUCUCCACAGAGCUGAGAUCACAGGCAUGCAGCACCACACCCAGUUCUGUGUGGCACUGGAGACUGGAUCUAGGGCUCCACGUGUGCUAGGCAAGCACUCUGCCAAGUGAGCGACAUUCCCAGCCCUCAUCACUAUGCCUUUGAAGCACAGCGUGUGCUUCAAAUACACCACCCAGAGACCAUAUCUAGGAUGCACUCACGAGCAGCUAUUGGCCUGCAGUUUUCUGGAAAAGCUGCAAGAACACCAUCUUGUCUGCUCCUAGUAACGCUAAGUCCAAAUGAGGGCCCAGCGCUGCUGAAUAAGCAGAGGUCAUUUUCUCGAUGUGGCUCAUUCUCUUGGUUGUGUCUGUGAACCAACCGAACUCUGCCAACUUCUGCAGGAACACAGUUCACUUACUCUGUUCUGUCAGUGAGGACAGUGGGAGUAGUGGAUUCUAAGGCCCAAGGGUGAGGUUGGUUAACUUUCCCAUGUAUGAAAGAGAAAAGAAUAUACAGAAUUAUUUACUUGGCUUUUUAACAGGAUGUAUUUCAGGAAAAAAAAUUGAAGCUGUUUUUGUGAGCUGGAGUUUUGCUGUGUAGCCUUGAGUUUGUUCAAAGAAAGCUUUGUCUAAGGUGUUUAUUGCACAGGGACAGGCGAUGUCAAGACAUCCAACAAAGGAUUAUAGAGUCAUAUCAUUUGGAAGAUUUCUAAACACUGAGACUAUCUACCUGCUAUUUUUCUUAUGGGUCUCGUUUUUUAUUUGUGCAGUAUUUUCAGUCAUAUCUGCUACUGUUCGUUGUAUUUAUAUAGACGUUAGGGAACUUACUAAACAUUUUAGUAAGCAAGAAUUUGAGAAUGAAAGGAAAUAACAGAUACGCACUUUAAAUGAGCUUAAUUGCUUGGAGUUGUGCCUGAAAUGUCAAGAUGUCUCCUCUGGGUGUGGCUUUGUUCAGUGAAAUGAAUUUCCCUGUAAUUGUUCCUGGCUGAAGGUGGCUGUACAGUCUUCACAGAACUGUAUCCCAGCAUGCCACUUUGCCCAUGAUAGCACCGAGUUUUCUUUGAAUGUCCGUCACCCCCUUAAGUAUUUUACUCAGUGUAUCAAGACAACUUUAUUCCAGUAACUGUCCCUUCCGAGGUUCUGCGCCAUAGAUGGUGUCCCAGAUGUAGGUGGCUUCCUGGUUUCCCACCAGAGUGGUCCUACCAGAUUCCCGAGGUUGCACUGGAGUCCAGUAAGACCGUAGCCCCAUUUCCACUCUCUCCAUUCUCCACAGUAGCUUCCGUGUUGCUGAGUUAGCUUUGGUAGUUAUGUCUGCAUGCGGAUGCACACAUUUGAAAAUGAAGUAUAGCCGUAAUGUAAACCCAAGGGAUUUUCCCUGGAGGUGGUCACCUGCUCUUUUCCUCAUCGUGAUGCUUGAGUUCUCUUUUCUGUUGUUGAUCUUUCCAUGGGUCCCUUUAACUUCCUGCUGCCGCAGUCUGAGAGGCUACAUUUGGACAAGUGAUUGUGAGGCUCCUAUAAUUAUGUAAUUGAUUAACGAUUGUGGCUUCAUCUUGUUGAGUAAAAGCUGCCCCUUUCUUCCUGGCAGAGCAUUGCUAUGAUGAGGAAUGCUGGCCUUGAGAACUUAGUCACGGCUGACAAAAACCAGAAACAGUAUCUGCAAUGUUCUUCUCCCUUGAUUUUACAAUCCAGUUCCAAGUACAUAAUGUAUAUUAGAAUUUGCCUGUAAAAUGAAUUAUGGAAACCAGAUGUAAAGUCUCCUGAAAGUGUUGGCAUAGUAAUUAAAAAAUAAAGUUCAUAAUUAUAAAAGCAUGCU